rnacentral:lncRNA from 1 species
UUUAAUCUAUUGUGGGUCUGUGUUCAAAAAACAAUCUAUUGUAUGUGACUAGAACUCCAUUACUUCAACACUAUUCUCAAGAUGGGCAAAGAUAUUCGUGCAUCAUCCCUCCACUUAGUUGGACAAUACAAGAAAAGCUCUUCACACUUAUUCAAUGUUGCUUCAAAUAAACACAUAAAUCAUAAUCACAUCAUUCCCAUCCGAAAGGAAGGCAUAUAACUUUCAACAUCUGCGCUCGCUUUUAGAAGAAAAUAUAAAAUAAUUAGCUAACAGGUGGCAAGUGGUACAGAGUUCUGCUGUAUAGAUUAUAGAUACUUGCAAUGCAAAUUUUCGUAAGAAACUGCCAGUGCUAUCAGCACAAAAAAAACUAUUU